rnacentral:rRNA from 1 species
GGAGUUAGCCGGUGCUUCUUCUGUGAGUGAUGUCCUUCCUGCCGGUUAUUGACCCGCGGGCCUUCUUCCUCACUGAAAGUGCUUUACAACCCGAAGGCCUUCUUCACACACGCGGCAUGGCUGGAUCAGGGUUGCCCCCAUUGUCCAAUAUUCCCCACUGCUGCCUCCCGUAGGAGUCUGGGCCGUGUCUCAGUCCCAGUGUGGCUGAUCAUCCUCUCAGACCAGCUACGGAUCGUCGCCUUGGUGAGCCGUUACCUCACCAACCAGCUAAUCCGACAUAGGCUCAUCCGAUAGCGCGAGGCCCGAAGGUCCCCCGCUUUCCCCCGUAGGGCGUAUGCGGUAUUAGCCUGGGUUUCCCCAGGUUAUCCCCCACUACCGGGCAGAUUCCUAUGCAUUACUCACCCGUCCGCCGCUCGCCACCAGGGAGCAAGCUCCCCGUGCUGCCGCUCGACUUGCAUGUGUUAGGCCUGCCGCCAGCGUUCAAUCUGAGCCAGAAUCAAACUCUGA